CCUACGGGUUGCAGCAGUGGGGAAUAUUGGACAAUGGGCGAAAGCCUGAUCCAGCCAUGCCGCGUGUGUGAAGAAGGCCUUCGGGUUGUAAAGCACUUUCAGUGGGGAAGAAAGCCUUGGGGCUAAUACCCUCGAGGAAGGACAUCACCCACAGAAGAAGCACCGGCUAACUCCGUGCCAGCAGCCGCGGUAAUACGGAGGGUGCGAGCGUUAAUCGGAAUUACUGGGCGUAAAGCGCGCGUAGGCGGUCUGAUAAGCCGGUUGUGAAAGCCCCGGGCUCAACCUGGGAACGGCAUCCGGAACUGUCAGGCUAGAGUGCAGGAGAGGAAGGUAGAAUUCCCGGUGUAGCGGUGAAAUGCGUAGAGAUCGGGAGGAAUACCAGUGGCGAAGGCGGCCUUCUGGACUGACACUGACGCUGAGGUGCGAAAGCGUGGGUAGCAAACAGGAUUAGAUACCCGAGUAGUC
rnacentral:rRNA from 1 species